UCAGAAUCUCUGGAAGAACAGCCAGUUCUCCUAACCAGCAAGGCCAUCUCUCCGGCCCCACUUGGAGUUUCUAGAUCAAGGUCAAGUGAGGCCACUCUGGUGCUUCCCACUGCUAUGAAAUGUGGCAUCUGAGAACAUACAAUGUCUGUCAGGGAGUUUGAAGGUCUGCACACCUUGUCAGGACUCGCCCUGGAGAAGUUGAAUCGUCCCACUUACCUGGGAGCUUUCCAGCCAGCUACCCUGACCUCUUGAAGUUCUGGACCCACAGCGCUCUUGUAAAGCAGACAUCCCCGUACAGGUUCCACCACUUGUUGCAUCCACCCUGAGCAGCAGGAAAGACGCAACACCAUGUUGUCCUUCUUCAAGCAGGUUUAUUCAGGAACACUUCGCAUAGGAACGGGAAUCCGCCAAACAACCCCCGGUGCGCCUUAAAUACCCUACUGACUCCUCCCAAUCACCCCAGUCACUUAACGGCAGUCCAUUGGUUCACAGCAAGUGACGUCAGCUUGACACCUCAGGCGAGCUGACGAGGCAUGGCAUCUGCGCAGUGCAGGCGGCUGGGAUGUGGCUAAGUCUGAGGUAAUGAGGAAGUCAGGCGCAGGUCAUAAGACCUGGCAGACGUCCUGGGCUCCAUCUUGGGGCAGCAGCCGCACCUGCUCCUCACAAGGAACCAGUCCAGAUGACUGCAAGCAUCAGGUCCUAAGCAUUAGAUUUAGAAUACCAAAAGAAGAUUCAGUGGAGGACAUGCCUUUACACUUCACGCAAAGACCAUUCCCUGAAUGUGUCUGAUGCUGUUUUGUGUCACCACUGUUGCAGGUCUACUCUGCCAGGAAGACAGAACAUUCCAAGCUCAGAGAGAACCAACCUGGUUCCAGGAAAAAAAACCACUGUUUCCAGGAAAGCAUUGGGAACAAAGGGACAAGGUAGAGAGGCUAAAGGAAAGCAAAGAGGGGACACGAAGAGGCAAAGAGGGCAUCGGAGGAGAGAGCUGGAGCCAAAGGCAGAGGUGAAGGCUCACUGAAAAAGACGACCAGACCACAACAGGCCAUCACCAAGACAGCUCUCCCACCCGCUAGAACCACUGGAGAGCCCUUCCCUGAACCUCUGCUUCUGUGGUGCCCCGCAGAUGGGGACAACUCCUCCCUCCAGACAAUACUUCUCUAGUCUCCACCCAUCCUCUGACCCCAGCCCACUCACCCAAGCAAUAUACAGAUUUGCCCCAGAAAGGCCCUCCUAGUCUCCUCAGCUCCCAGGCCUCAGGUGCUGGCUCCUCCCCACCACCUGCCUUCCCUCCCAGACCUCUCCUAACCCCACUUCUGCCCUGGGUUCUUUUAUUAAGGAGGAGGGGUAAGAGGAGAAGUCUUGAGGACCAGGAAGAAAGAAGAGGUGGCAGGCAGGCAGGAACAUUCUCUCCAAUCCCCUCCUUUCUGAGCCCUCAUGCACUAGAAGACCAGUCCUCAGCCCAGGGUGGAGCUGCUCUCCAUAGCUGUUGGCUUACACACCUCCUGUGAGCAUCCUUGAGAUGGCCUCCCAGCAGGCCAGGCUCCCGGCACUUCCCUCCUAGGGUGCUGGAGCCUUGUUCUGCCAGCUGAACUUUGCAAGUUAGCUCUGAGACACUGAGCCUUACGGAUUAGGACGGGACAAACCUUCCUCAGUCGCCAUAGUAGACAUUUUAGCUGUGCAACUACAGCGUUCCUCCAGGAGUCCUGAAGCCACGUGUGCAGAUCCACACAGAAACCGAUGUGUCUGUGUUUAUUGCCCGACUGUCCGUUAUUGCUCCAAGUAGAAACAAGAUGCCAAGAGGCUGAAGAAAGAGACUCUUCCUCAGUGCAGUGGAGGACCAUCAGCUGUGAUCAGUGAGCUGAUGGCAGGGAGACCACGAUCCUCUUCUCAGGGGCCUGUCCACUUAACGAUUUUGUGUUGGGAUUUUUGCUUGUUUGUUUUGUUUUCAGAGACGAGUUCUCACUCUGUAGCCCAGGCUGAACUCAAACUUGUUAUGAUCCCCCUGUCUCCGCCUCUUGAUUGAUUAAAAUUUUGUGUCACUUUG